UACGUGAGGGGCAAGCGUUGUCCGGAAUUAUUGGGCGUAAAGAGCGUGUAGGCGGCCAGAUAAGUCCGCUGUGAAAUCUCGAGGCUCAACUUCGAGCUGUCGGUGGAAACUAUCUGGCUAGAGUCCGGAAGAGGAAGAAUGGAAUUCCUGGUGUAGCGGUGAAAUGCGCAGAUAUCAGGAAGAACACCCGUGGCGAAGGCGGUUCUCUGGGACGGUACUGACGCUGAGACGCGAAAGCGUGGGGAGCGAACAGGAUAGAA
rnacentral:rRNA from 1 species